CUUACAUCACAGAAACAUCUUGUUUCUGAUAAUAAAACAAAAUAAAACAAAACAAAACCAAUGCACUCAGACAGGCAAAAGCUCUAGGAGAUGAAUUGGUUGCGGGUCUGGUGAGUGAUGAGGAGAUCUUCGCCAAUAAAGGCCCGUCUAUUUUGUCCAUGGAGGAGAGGUACUAAUAUUUGGUCCUUUUCUGUUUUGCUCCUAGUGAUUUUCUCCUAGACAAAAUCUAAUUUAGCUUAAACAUAAGACUAGAGACUUUGCAACAAGGGAAUAAACUUGUUUGUUUGAAUAACUCAAGUGUGCCAACAUUGUAAAAGAAUUAAUGUUGAGAAUGUAUUUUGUCUUCCAGGCUGACCCUUGUUAUUGAAUUGAAAUGGGUGGACGAAGUCAUAACCGAUGCUCCUUAUGCAAUUACUGAGGAAUUCUUGAAUCAUCUUUUCUAUGAAUACAACAUUGACUAUGUCAUACAUGGAGAUGACCCUUGCCUGCUUCCAGAUGGAACAGAUGCUUAUGCUGCAGUAAAGAAAGCUGGCUGAUACAAGCAAAUUAAACGUACUGAAGGAGUUUCCAGCACAGAUGAUGUUGGAAGAAUUAUGUCUUCGUUAAAAGAUCAAAAAGCUCGCGAAGAUCUUAAUGGUACUGAUGCAAAACCUUAAGAAGAAAGCAAGCCAAAGGUUUCCCACUGGUCCCAAUUCCUACCAACUUCCUGACAUAUUGUACAGUUUUCAAAUGACAAGGUAUUUUGAUUAUCAAUGCUUAUAUAUCUUGACUUGCUGAGACAGACACUGAUUUGAAAUUUAUGCCACAUUCAUUGGUUUCAAGAUGAAAAUAUUUUGAGCGAAUUUGCUCAUUAGUUUUUGGAAAUAUUUUGCAUGAUAAUUCAUUGUGGCUUCAUCCUCUUUUAGGGGCCUGGACCUGAUGCUCGUAUUGUAUACAUUGAUGGGGCAUUUGAUCUCUUCCAUGCUGGGCACGUUGAGAUACUUAAGAAGGCUAGGCAGCUCGGAGAUUUUCUUCUUGUUGGUAUCUGAUGAGCGGAUA